rfam:Papilio machaon contig66665, whole genome shotgun sequence.
AGCUCGUUAGCUCAGCGGUUAGAGCGCCCAUUUAAUAUAAUUAAAAAGUGGUGGUCGAGGGUUCAAAUCCCUCACGAGCUG